UGCCAGCAGCCGCGGUAAUACGAAGGGGGCGAGCGUUGUUCGGAAUUACUGGGCGUAAAGGGCGCGUAGGCGGCUCUUUAAGUUAGGCGUGAAAGCCCCGGGCUCAACCCGGGAACUGCGCUUAAGACUGGAGAGCUAGAAAACGGAAGAGGGUAGUGGAAUUCCCAGUGUAGAGGUGAAAUUCGUAGAUAUUAGAAAGAAUACCAAUUGCGAAGGCAGCUUUCUGGAUCAUUACUGACGCUGAGGAACGAAAGCAUGGGUAGCGAAGAGGAUUAGAUA
rnacentral:rRNA from 1 species